UCCGGUUUGUCACCGGCAGUCUCAUUAGAGUGCCCAACUAAAUGUAGGGGUUGCGCUCGUUGCAGGACUUAACCUAACACCUCACGGCACGAGCUGACGACAGCCAUGCAGCACCUGUACAAGACCCCUUGCGGGUAAUCCCCUUUCAGGGACUAGAAUCUUGCCUUUCAAACCCAGGUAAGGUUCUUCGCGUUGCAUCGAAUUGAACCACAUGCUCCACUGCUUGUGCGGGCCCCCGUCAAUUCCUUUGAGUUUCAACCUUGCGAUCGUACUCCCCAGGUGGAAUACUUAAUGCGUUAGCUUUGGCACCGAGCCUUACGACCCGACACCAAGUAUUCAUCGUUUAAGGUGUGGACUAC
rnacentral:misc_RNA from 1 species